AUUGAACGCUGGCGGCAGGCCUAACACAUGCAAGUCGAACGAGUGGCGGACGGGUGAGUAAUGUCUGGGAAACUGCCCGCUGGAGGGGGAUAACUACUGGAAACGGUAGCUAAUACCGCAUACCAUCGGAUGUGCCCAGAUGGGAUUAGCUAGUAGGUGGGGUAACGGCUCACCUAGGCGACGAUCCCUAGCUGGUCUGAGAGGAUGACCAGCAACAAUGGAACGGAAACACGGUCCAGAAUCCUACGGGAGGCAGAAGUGGGGAAUAUUGCACAAUGGGCGCAAGCCUGAUACAGCCAUGCCGCGUGUAUGAAGAAGGCCUUCGGGUUGUAAAGUACUUUCAGCGAGGAGGCGUUACUCGCAGAAGAAGCACCGGCUAACUCCGAGCCAGCAGCCGCGGUAAUAC
rnacentral:rRNA from 1 species